GGCCCCAUCGUCUAGUCAGGCCCAGGACCCAAGAUUUUCAUUCUUGUAACCGGGGUUCAAAUCCCCGUGGGGUCA
rnacentral:tRNA from 1 species